rnacentral:rRNA from 1 species
UGAUGCAGCGACGCCGCGUGAGGGAUGACGGCCUUCGGGUUGUAAACCUCUUUCAGUAGGGAAGAAGCGAAAGUGACGGUACCUGCAGAAGAAGCACCGGCUAACUACGUGCCAGCAGCCGCGGUAAUACGUAGGGUGCGAGCGUUAUCCGGAAUUAUUGGGCGUAAAGAGCUCGUAGGCGGUUUGUCGCGUCUGUCGUGAAAGUCCGGGGCUUAACCCCGGAUCUGCGGUGGGUACGGGCAGACUAGAGUGCAGUAGGGGAGACUGGAAUUCCUGGUGUAGCGGUGGAAUGCGCAGAUAUCAGGAGGAACACCGAUGGCGAAGGCAGGUCUCUGGGCUGUAACUGACGCUGAGGAGCGAAAGCAUGGGGAGCGAACAGGAUUAGAUACCCUGGUAGUCCAUGCCGUAAACGUUGGGCACUAGGUGUGGGGACCAUUCCACGGUUUCCGCGCCGCAGCUAACGCAUUAAGUGCCCCGCCUGGGGAGUACGGCCGCAAGGCUAAAACUCAA